CCUUCAUGGGGCAGCCCGUCGGCGUUUCGAGCGCUGGAUGAUGGAGUCGGUUCGAGUCCGCCAGGAAGUC
rnacentral:tRNA from 1 species